rnacentral:rRNA from 1 species
AGCGCAGACGGUUAUUUAAGCAAGAUGUGAAAGCCCCGGGCUCAACCUGGGAACUGCGUUUUGAACUGGGUAACUAGAGUGUGUCAGAGGGGGUAGAAUUCCACGUGUAGCAGUGAAAUGCGUAGAGAUGUGGAGGAAUACCGAUGGCGAAGGCAGCCCCCUGGGAUAACACUGACGUUCAUGCUCGAAAGCGUGGGUAGCGAACA